CCUAGAUCAAUUCUAGAAAUGACAGGUAAUAUUUAUAGGAAAUAUCUAGAUUUUCCUUUGCUAAUCGAACUUAUUUCUUUUUGGAGUGAAAUAAGUGGGACUUAAAUGAAUCAUGGAAGUUAAAUACUGAGGUCAGUUCUCUAACAAGAGUGGAGUAAUAUGUCAUGUGUUUGAAACGUUGCCUUGCUUUAUUACUAAAUGUAUUAAGGAGGGAAAGACAGGUUUCACUUAAUUAAAUGUUGUGAUCUCCUGAAACAGACUGCUAAUUUACUUGGGGUGUUUUCAAGUGAGGAAGUCUUGAGGAUGCGGCAUCUGCUUUCCUAAAAUGAUUUCUCAAAGCUGGGUCACAUUUGAGUGAGGCACAUUGUGUGAUGUGUCAUCAUUUUGUUACUCCUGGGAAGAUUUGGGAGUGAAAUGGUCUCUCGAGUACUGCUGCAUGUUGACUGUAACUGCUCCCAUUCAUAAACUCACAGAAGCCUUUUGUGGGUGCUGGAGAAUAAACACUGCUGUAAGGGUAGUGAUAGUGUAAUGCUCAUUUCCUGUGUUGUCUUGGGUCCCCUGUGGGUGUUGAAUGUAACGUGGGACCUCUUGUAGUGUUGAUUAUUGCUUUGCUGAAAAUCUGUUAUAAAUUUCAGAAUAGACAUAAUUGGCCAUAAUAUGGACCAUAAUCGCCAUUACUGCUCAUUAUGAAUGUAUAAUUAUCUGCUUAACAGUCUGUUAUUGCGUAUUUGGGUUCAUUAUCAUAUAAUACAUUAAGUUUCAGUUCAUGGAUUGUUGCCCUUCAAAGCUCUCGGACAGUUUAUUAAGUAAAUGCAGGUAAUUCAGUUUUGAAAUAUUUUUUUUUAAUGACAGUGUUCUAGAUGGAGCAUCUCUCAUAUGUCUUCAACCUUGCUGCAGUCAGAAAAGAUGUGCAGUUAAAAAAAAAAAAAAAAACUUACAUAUUAUUACAUCAAUAGGAAUGAUUUUUUCAAAGCUCAGAGAAAGAUCCAGGCCAGCUUUUAGAUGUCAGUGCAGCAGAGGACAGUGGAGAAAUGUAUGCGCUCUCAUACAAUAUGCUUAUGCUAGUUGGAAAUUGUGCUGUUCUACUUACAGCCACAUAAGUGUGUUUGCUGAAGCCAUUCUGGACCUAUUAGAGCCCAACAGCUUUUUCUGUUUCUACAUUGCACUGUGUGCCUGAUACAAGUUGGUAUCUGAGUAGUGUAGCGAAACACAAAUGGCAUAGGUCUCCACCUCACACACAUGCUUCAACCACUCUUCUUUUCUGUGUUGUAUCUUGUGCUACGUAGAAUUUGCAAAAUGUAUUACAAGAAAAAUUGGGGAUCAAGCCUUGUUUCUUGUGCUCAGCCCAAAUAGACUUCCUGCUUGAGGCCAUUUGCAGUUAACUUAAGGCCUCUAACAAAGAUGAGGUAAAAUACACAGGUUAACUGAUGGUGGAGGUGAUACAGUGUUAGUUUUGUUAUCUGUGUAAAGAGACCUUUGAUAUUGCUAAGUCCCUGAGAGAUUCCAGAUCACAAGUGAAAUAUUGCUCAGAUAUGACAAAUAAGUGAGAAACGAUUAAAUUAAAGGAAGGCUGGAGAUGAAUUCUAACGCAGAUGAAUGUGCAGUGCAUGGCUCGGUGCACUUGGGCUACCAGUGCCGUGGUUAAGAUUUGAUUUAUUUAGUUAUGUUUCCUAAAGCUUAUUUUGCCAGUCUUACAACAUGUAUGCUUGUCAUAGUUUAAAUAAGGAUGAAUGGCUCUCACUUAAGGGCCUUAGUUCAUUCUCUGUCGCCUGUAAGAAAUCAUCUGUGGUCUUUCUGCCAGCUUCAAACAAGUGCAGUCUUACCACUGACUAAAAAUACAUACUCUCUAACUUCCAAAAAGGGGCUAUUUACUAUGUACAGUGUACCUGUCUUGUUCUUUACCUUUGCUUUCACUUUUAUGAGAAACAAAUGCUGAAGUAGAUAAAUUUUAUAAAGAUGUAUCUCUAUAACAAAUUGUAAAUCUGAGGCCUCUUUAAAAAUGUUCUGUGCUAUAUAUGCGAGCACCAUGACUUGAAUUCUGUACUUUGUGAAGUCUCGUUUUCAUGAGUGAUCUGUUAAUUCUGGUGCAUCUUACUCCACAGUGGCAUUCUGUUGAGCUGUGAACAGUGUGCAUCUGCUCAGGAGCUGCUGGAUGUAAUCCCAUAGUGGUGCAGUGCUCAUCUUGUUUGCAUGGGUCUCUCUCUGGCUCUGUCACAGUACUCACCUGUGUGGUCAGUAUAUUUCUCUUAGAGGAUCUAAAGAAAACUGAUUAAAAACACUACUGGCAUUCACAUGACCUUGUUUGCAUUCUUGUUGGAAUCUGGAGAGGACGUACAGAGAGCUGAAAGGAUGACCACGCUUUGUACGGGUAUGAGCUAAACAGAGGUACCGAGCUGUGCUGAUGGGGCAAGUGCCCUCAGUACGGGAAGAGUGCAGAUUUCUUUUUCAGGCCUCUUUAUGUACUUGGCACCCUUUCAUGAUCCUGCUGGUAUUAUAUAAACUCGUUCAUUUUAGUAAAGUAUCAAAGCAGGGAAAGACAGAAAGAAAUGUUCCCAGGCAAAGAAAAAAGAACACUUCCGUUGUUGCAGUUUUCUUCUCCUUAAGGGACAGUGACCCUGCCUGAUUUAACGUUAGCCUUCAGAUUGCUUUUCUGUGUUUUUUUUUUUUCUUCCAGCCUCGUAUUCUUAACUUGCAGGUUAUUUUAAGCUUAUUGCUUUUAAAUUGCAGAGCAUUUAAGACAUUGCAGGCAUGCAGAAUUAGGUUGGACAGUAUUGAAGGUCAUACUGUGGAGAUGUAAGCUAUACUGACAGUUGCACAGUUAGAACUGUGGUCUUCUUAUCUAGCUAAUGUAUUUGAUUCUCAUUUUAUUAACCAGUGUUUAUUCCUUCCUGUGCUGGCAAUUAUAUUCAAAUACUUUAGCACUGAUGUUUUGAACUUGUAUUUUGAUCAGAUCUUGCUGCAAAAAAAGUUUUAACAAACAUCUGUUAUUUGGUUACUCUCAGCUUAUUUAAGUCUGAUUGUGUUUCACUCACCAUAAAUCUUCCUUGAAAUCAAGUUUUUCUCUUCAUUUUGUAACGCUAUAUUAAUCAUCGACGUGAUAAUAGAUGAACAACAACACUGGAGGCACAGUCUUCAUUUAUUACAUUAAAUCUGGGAGAAGAUUGAUAAAGAGAUGCAACUCACCCAAUGUUACAAUUUUUCCAGUUAAUGUUAUCAUUGAGCACUUACUGUUAGUGCUACAUUUUUAAUGUACCAGCUACUUGAAGUUUUACUGUGCUGCUGUUUCUUGUGGUCUGGGAGUACACAGAUGGGUGAUGACUCCUUUUGGGUGUUCUGUUACCACUUUAAGCAGCGAUGCUGUUAUGCUCUUGUGAAAAAGACUGGUUGUCUGCUUUGUCUACAUGGAACAGCAGAUGAGAAUUGGGCAAGGAAUCACUCCACUUAUCACUGGUAAGGCCCUGGCUGGAGCUGUGUCUGCUCUGCAUUGUAUGCAGAACCGUGGUCCCAGGCACCACAUGUUUGUAUGUCAGGACUUGCAUUUUCCCACACAGUUCUCUGUACACCAUUUGGUAUUUGGUACUAAUUUUUCUAAUUCAGUGUUUUCAAAAUCCAGUGAAGGUGAAAAUCUUACAAUUGGGUAUGUCUGGAAAUACUACUUGCAAUUGUUUAAGAACAGUUUGAAUACCAAAGCUAUUGGUAUACAAAAUAUUUUUUAUUUUUCUAUUUUAUUAUUAUUAUUAUUAUUAUUUUUUGUGAAGGCUGAAAUCGAGAUUCAUUGAGAAAAUCUGUGAAGGAAAACUGCAGACAGACCCCCUGCUACUUCUGUUUUGAAAAAUCUAAAAGAGAACGAAAAAUGACAGCACAUAAUUACAAUGAAAUAGAUCCAUUUGUUAACAGUUCUAGGGUUAAAUUUUGUUAUUGGCAGUAAUAACAAUAUGAAUGCUUUCGUUCAGCAGAGGGCACGCUGUGUUAUUCACAGUGAGGUCAAAAGUUUCCCUGUAGAGUUCCCAAUGAAAGCAGCAUUUGAUUUUGUUAUUGCAUAGAUUACUCUUUUUUUUCUUAAGGCUUAUUUCUGCCUAACCUAAAAUGUUUUCCAAUAUCAAAUACUUUUACAGAACUGAAAGCUAUCUAUCCCAAGCAUAUUUUUCAUUAUGUAUACUUUCAGCUGUCUUAAGUACAUAAAAGUACAUGCUAAAAUUUAUUUAUUUGUAUUAAAACUUCAAUGAGAAAUGAAACAGAAUCGAUACACUAAGGUGAGGGUCUGCAAAAUGGAAAUAGAGGCUGGCUGGCUGCAAAUGAAUGCCAGGAAAGCCAAAAAUUAAUUAAGAUAUUGGCAUGAACAAGGAGGAGUAAGUGAUAUGGGAAGAAUUCUGUAGCGUUAAUAAUCUGGUUUGAAAUAUGGAAAAGAGGAAAAGUUGGGAUGUACCGUGGCACUGCAAAAAUGCAGCUGGGCUCUGAGGGUCUGAGGUGGCAUGUGAACCAGCGUUUACCCAUAGCAACUCUAUUGCUCAAAAAGGGAUGGUGGGAAGGACUGGCAGUUGUGGCCUUCUGACCUAGGAAGGAGCUGGAUAUGGCAAAGAAUACUGCAUACAUUGCUCUGUAAACGUAGACUUGAAAACUCUGUCUAUACUGUUCUUUUGUUUAGUAUGGGUUUGUUUCCUCUAAAGAUCUUAAAACACCAAAAACAUUAUGCAGACCUAGCAGUAGAAACCAGCAUGUGUCAGAAGCUUAGCUGAAUGCUUUUUGCAUUUGUGUGUCUGAGCUCCAUGGUGACGAUAUAACUGGCACAUUUUUACAGUGCUUCACGUAGUAAUUCUACUCAGAUAAAGCUUAAGAACAAUAAUACCCCAUUCCAUACCUUUAAGUUACUGAAUUUAACUUUAUUUCUCUAGCCUGCAAAUAUCUUUUCGUCGUGCAGCCCGUGUGAUGCUUUCCAAAGACUGUUCUGUUUGAUAAUGGAGUGGAUACAUCGUUAAAUCAGUAUUACUUCAGUGACCUAAACUUCUUAGACAUGGCUAGUAUGUGUGCAGGCACUGGUGCAUGGCAAGUUAUCCAAGACAGCAUGCUGAAGAAGAGGACUAUAUUUUAGUCCUUAUACAAGUCAAUGGCUGUGAAUUUUUCUCUUCAUUCUAAUGAUGAAAAUUACAGGAUAUUCUCGCUCUGUACAAUCUGUUCAAUUUGUGUCUGUUGUAUCCACUGUAGAAUGCAAAGGAAGUUGUUGUGCUUUAGAGCUGCUAUUUUGAUCUUUUCAUAGGGGAAAGGAGAGUGUAGAAAUCCUAAUAUCACAACUACUUGUUCAUUUGAAGGUGACUGAAUAAAUACCAGUAACCAGAAGAGCAGAUAAAAUUUUGAGUGUUGCAGAGGUAACUAAGAACUUUUUAGUGAAACUUGAGACUAUUUUAAAUUCUGUCCAAACAAAAAACAAGAUGCUGUGCACUAUUAUUAAAGGCUAUGCUCUGUGCUCAGCUUCAGUCAAUGAGGGCCCAAAAGACUGCAUUUAGCUGUGUGAUAGGUGUAAGUCAAUGGUAUGCAUUCAGCUUAAAUAUUUAUUCAUUACUGAGCUCCAUGUUUCUGAAAAGACAAGCUGAAAUAGGGAAGGGAAACUAAAAGUUUCAAGGUUUUAAUCUGAGAAUCGUAUCCAGAAGGUCUGAGAAACUGAGGGAAGAAUAGCAGAGUUAUUUAGGGAGAUGCAGAAGGGAAAUCAAGAUAAACAUGUAUAAAUAACAGCAGAGAAUGGUGAACUCUUUCUUUUAUGUGUUUUUUGAAAGGAAACAGCAAAUAAAGUGUAACUCCCCAAGGGAAAGAACUUUUUUUUGCGUAACAUAUGAUCAGGUGCCAGGCUCACUGCUUAUUCUGCGAGCAGCUUGCUGUCCAGGAAGCGUUACACUCUAAAUUGUUGCAAUUCAGUGCCUUGGUGUGUCCACUUAUCCCUGGAUUCCUGUAGCAUGUCUUUUCCUUUUUCCUACUGUUAAAUACAUAAUGGAUCAGUAUCCAGCUACAGAUGAGUUUUCUGCUUUCAGAUUUAAUCCCUGGGAUUUGGUCAUGCCUUGGCUGGACCCAGGGGCACUUGCCGGGACUGAGGUACUGGGGACCCCUGUGCUGAGUCUUUGUGCACUUAGCUUCAUAUUAACACACCCUUAUAAAUGCUUGAUGAAAGGAUUGUGGAUGAUUAACAUAUACAUACAUUGCAGAUAUGCAGGAAUAUUAAGUUUGGUAAAUUGCGUUCAACAGUGCCAGUAAAGGGUGUUAAGAACACUUAGACCUACUGUGCCUUUAAGCAACGGUUAAUCCCUUGUUUUACUACUUAGAAAUCCAACUGUUUGUGGCACAUGAAGUGUGUCCAAGUCUUCUUGUGCUGUUAUUAAAUAAGAUUUCUGUUUUUCAGAGAUUGUCUUCACCCUCUCCCAAACAUCGAGACGUGCUUUAAACAGAGACUAGGGAAAGUUAUAAGCUGGUAAGUCUAGCAAGUUGGUCUCAUUGUGGGCGUUAUUGCAGGGAGGUUUAAUGCUCUCUAUAAUCAAUCAGCUGCCUUGUCAGUCAGCCAUUGUCAAAAGACAUUUGUUGCUUGAAGGGGAAAAAAAAAAAAAAAGACACAUCAGUUUCUGGUUACAUGAUCUGGAAACAGUUAACUGUCCAAGGGUUGUAACAACCAGAAAUGGAUACUGUAGCUCCAGGAGCACUCACCAUGUUAGUUAUUUCUGUAAGGAACAGGAUAAAAAAUGUUAAAAAAAAAAAAGGUUAGUUGUUAAUAUGUGCUUCUCAUCAGUUGAUUUUUUUGCACAACCUGCUUCAUUACAGAUCAAGCCGUAGUUACUUUAUUAGUGCUCAAAGUUAAAAGAAAUAUCCUGUCUUAUUCAAACCCAACUCUUUUGAGACUUAUGCUUGUAAAUACUAAUUUAAUUUUAAAGUAUUUUCUACUGUCGUAUCUGCCUUUGUCUGAAAGGGCUUGAAGAAAUAACUUCUACUGGAAAUGCUAUAUUUUAAUACUCAACAAGCUAUGCAAGUAGGUUCCAGGACUGUUUCCAGUGUUGACAUCAACAGAGAAUGACUGAACUCAUAAGGGAAUUGGAGAUUUAGAAAAGCUUAAAUAUCUGCUCAACUGCUGGACUUUGUGUCUACUUCUGUUAUUGAUUGACCGCUGGAGAAGUCUGCUAUAGAGAAAUAUGACUGAGACAGCAUGAAAUAUUUUUUCAGUUAGGAAUGAUCUCAUAAUUCAUGAAUGGCAGUAAGAAGUGGGGCUGUGAAUGAAUUAUAUGGGGACAUCCUAAUGAGCAUGGGCUGGUUUUGAUCCUGUUCUGUUCACUGCAGACUGUCUUAAGCCUAAAAGAAAUGUAGUUCAUACUACAAAAAUGAAAACUGAGGAACGUUGUAUUGGUGGAGCUACAAGCUCUUUGUUUACUUCGUUUAUUUAAAGUAAUCUGUGAGGUAGUAAUGAUGUUUGUCAAGGGGAUUGAAUACCAGCAUGACAUACAAAUAUUUAGUUAAUACAGACUAGUUACAGAAUCACAGGCUGUAGGGGCUGGAAUGGACCUCUAGAGAUCAUAGAGUCCAACCUCUCUGCUACAGCAGAUUCGCUACAGCAGGUUGCACAGGCAGGCGUCCAGAUAGACAUUGAAUAUCUCCAGGGAAGAAGACCUCGCAACCUUUUAGGAAGCUUGUUUCAGUGCUCCGUCACUCUUGCAGUAAAGAAGUUCUUCCUUCUAUUUGUAUGGAUCUUCUAUUCCUGUCAAGCUUCAUUAGUGCUUACAAACAUCAUUAUUGUUGCAGGUAAUUAGCAUGAAAAUUCAGGAAAGAUCUGAAUAUGAACUUUUAUCUCUUCAAGCUCAUUUUCUGUUUAUUCAGGACCUGUUUUCCUAUGUAUUAAACAGCUCUGAAGAUGCCUAUGAAGGCAAGUUAGGAGAGGGGAUACAGGGAGAAGUUGCAGACUUGUAGCCACCAAAAUGAUUAGGUGCAGAUUCUCAAAUAGCUGUGUGUGACCCUGACUGCUGCUGCUUGGAAAUGUCUUAGAUUGUCCUUUCAUGGCCUUGAAUAAUGUUUCUUUUUCCUACCUAAGGCUGAUAGCUAGGAUAUGCUGAUAUUUAUGUCAUACUUGGUCCAGAUAAAAGCUGAGGGAAAAAAUGCACCUAUGGAUGUGGAGAGAGACAUGAUUUGAAUUGGUGAUGCAUACUUGCUUUCUCCAAAGGAGUAGGAUUAUCUUACUGUAAUUAUGUGUAGUUCAUCAGCUGGCUGCCGCCUGGGGGGCUUACCUCACCCACUGAUGAAUUUGGAGAUCCAUACAUUAAGUUUAACUCCGAUGACAAUUGGCUGUAAUGUUCCCUCUUGUCACUGCAGCUGUGGAGGUCAGGCCUAAUGAUAUGCCAAGAGCUCUGUGACAGUUUGCAUACAGACGCAGUUUACUCAGGUCUCAGCACUGCCACUCUCAGAAGAUGAGGAGGUAUUGAACUGUCAAACUGAGACUGAGCAGGUGACAGCUGAUGCAUUUUAGAUCAGCUGCCUUCAUGACUGAUUUAGUAAACCUAACUGAGAGCAUGCAGGCUUUUUCUCCUUCGAUAAUAUGCUUUAAAAAAAAAAAUUAAAGCUGUGAAAAUGUGUUUUGUUUUUAAAUACUACUCUUUAUACCUUCUUUGUACUUUGCAACCUUUAAGCAUAAAAAUGAUUCAGUAUAGAAGAUCUAGGAGGAUUUUUUUCCUAUGGAAUGAAUUGAGAGCACGAGAAUAGGACCAAGCACAGAGUCCUGAGGUUUGCCUCUGGGAAGACCAGGGGGAGAGCUGUGGCGAGAUGAGCAGAGCUGUGCCAUAUCAGUGUGCUUCUCACUGGAAGAAAGGUGGUGACCUGGGGAGGUGACAGAGCCACGUUACUGCAAGGGUCGAUCUAUACAGCACAGUUCUCCAGAGGCUGCUGUUAUUGUUCUCUUGGUAUGUUAAAGGGGGUGAGUUGCAAAAUACUUCAGAAUGCAGUUGUUUUUUGUUUUGCCUUUUUUUUUUAAUGUAUAGAAUUAGCACUAAAAACAGCCUUAGAAAAUGAUAAACCUAAAUGCUUCACUAUUUUUAGGUAAACAUGCAUGUGUAGGAAAAGGGAAACAUCAUUUAAAUCUUGCAUAUCUUAUUAAAGAAAUGCCUUACAGUUCUCGAUGCAGGCCCACUUCCCUAUAUGCUGACAACUCACCUCAGUAUUCACUGCAAUGUAAGUUUCUCUUACUGAAUGUAGUGAUGGAAAACAUCAUCCCAGCACAAUGUUUUCUUUACUGAUUCUGCUGCUGCACAGCUUUGUAUCAUCAAAAACAAAUGCCAUUUGGAUUACAAAGAACAAGAAUGUUAUCAGGAGAUAUCUCUGAAUUGCCUUCUGUAAACUUAUCUAAUGUUUAUUUCAAAGAUGUAUUGAAUGUUUAGAUGCUGAUUCUCCACAGGAUUCUUGCUUUUCCUUUAAAUUAUUCCAGAAUCUUCUUUUUCCUGUUGGUAGAGUAAGUUCUCCUCUUUGCCUUUGUUAACGUCUGUGCAUGACACUGCAGUCCCUACAGCUGCACAUAGAUCAUCAAAUGUUGCCUGAAUGUUGGUGCUCCUCAUGUCUGAAAUGUGGGGCUAGAUGCUGGAGUCUUGCCUCCUAAGUCAAGAUGACAGGCUGCGCUCAAGCAAUGAUGCCUUGUCAUCAUUCAACAUCCUUGCCAUCAGAAAGAGAUAAACACAGCAGCGAAAUGCACAAAGUAUGUGUUGUUAAUAAGGGAGGAAAUAUUCAUUUUAGUAGUGCAAUAGAAUCUUUUCCCCUAUUCCCUUUAUUCUCUACUCUUGUGCAUGGAUUAUCAUUCUGCAUAAUAUGCAGGAAGACACACUUGAGAUAUAGUUAGCUCGAGGGAAAUAGUGCACACCCGAGCUAAAAGUAUUUCCUAGGACAGAAAGAGACAGAUUUAUUGUAGGGUCUGGGAUUUGUGGGGCCGUGUGAGUGAGGUAAUCUUUCCCUUUUCAAGUCAAAUGUGCACAGAAAUUUUAGGGAAUUGUCUGUUGGAGACCAUGCUACUGGCAUACGAGAAUUCAUUCUGAAAGAAAAUGUGAAUUCUAGCUUUGUUAAUGUUAUUUCUGCUUCUCGAUAAAUGCAUCAAGGUGGUACAAAGGCAAAGGAGUGCUGACAGAUCUGAUAAGCCAGUCAGGAUUCCUCAGCCCAAAUGAUUAUAGUCAGUGUUGUUUGUAUAUGAAUUGUUGUUUCUUCUUCGCUGUAGAGUAGCUGUUUGUUUAGCUGAGAAAGGAAAAAUAACAGAGAAACUUGCUGUGAUUGCUGCUGAAGAAGUAUAUUCAGAUCUUAGUCUAAAAUCAAGUCACUCCAACAGCGUUGUGCUUUGCUCUGUAGGGUUGUAGUUUUCAACCUGUUUUGAUCUGUGAACCUCUCAACCUUUUUCACUGAAGGUACAGAUCUCUGUAUAGUGAGUUAAAACCCCACUGACAAUCAGCUUGAAUUUUUAAUGCUUUCUUUUCAAGUUACCCUUGCAGAUAUCCACCAACCUUGAGUGCUCUGUGGACUACAUCUUGAAAACCAUUGCUCUGAGGAACUAGUGAGGUCGAGUUGAGACUAAUGCUGCUAAAAUUUGAAGAUUUUGAUUGUGAUAAAAAAUAUUCUGAUGUGGGAAGGGGGAAAAUAACAGUUCUGAAGUUGGCAGUUGAUAGUACUACCUUUGAAAGUUACUUUUCUUUGUGAAUUUCAAGCAAGCCUUGGACACUUGGGCACUGAUGAGAGACCAAGGACACAGGUGACUGCUGGGUGAGUAGUGCUUGGUUUUGCAGCAUCGGAGAAUCCUGGAUCCUGAAAGCUCAAAAAAUUGUUUUUAGUGGGAUUGAAUUGGGAAAACAAGCUAAGUUUUCCCAAAGGAAGGACUCUUGAAGUUUGUUAGAAGAAAUAAUUUGGGGAAUUGGUUUUGAUUGACAUUUCCUUUCUGAAAAUGAGUUUUGAUUAAAAACAAACAAAAAAAACCAUUAGCUAGGACUGAGAUCCAAGCCCAGACUUUUCAAGUGCUGUAGCAUGAAGACUGAAGGUGAUCUAGAGAAGUAAUAUGGGAAGGUCCUGGUGGGGGUGGUUGCUAGGGAGAAUUUCCCAUUAUUCAUUGAACUAAAUUUUAAGGUUCCUAUAGAAUUUUGUUGUAAAAAUAAAAAUAAAAAAGAGGCAGAGAGAGUACAGGAAUUGUGAAGUUAACAUCAGGCUUUAAAUUUCAUGGUUUCUUUUCUUUGGAGACCUUUUCCCUGUGAGAAAUUAUUGGCAAAGGGAAUAACUAUUUCUUUGUGCCCACAGCCAGAACUGAUCUUGUUUUUUGUUGGGUUGUUUUUGUUUUGUUUCUGUGCUUACAUCUGAAUCUCCCUGCUGUCUAUCAACCUUCCUUUGGCUGCAUAGGUGGCUACAAGGUGGAAUUAUAUUCUGCAAAAGCCAUGCUUUCUCCAAGAUACUACAAUGCUGCUUAAUUGAAAACCUUAUGUCUUACUUCUGUAGUUCUCAAUAUUAAUCCACUCUCUUCUAUUUCUUUAACUUCUGGCUGCAGGAUGACUUUUGCAGUAAGGAGAAACGGCUAAAAAUCAAUGAAAAGCUUUUUUAAAAUUGUCAUGCAUUAAUUAAUAUGUGUGCUUGGCAUAGAUUCUCAAAAGCAGUCAAAGGAAAUUUAUGUCAGGAAAAGGAUGCUGGCAAGGAGGAGAUGUCUCUAAGGCAUUUGGAUUAGGUGCUAAUAGCUAAAGCCUUUGUAAAUAGGAUGAGGGGUGACUAGUAUUUUGUUUGUUUGUUCUUUGUUUUGAAGGUACCUUUGUGGGGUUUUUUUUUCUACUCUUUGCAACUCAUGGAAAAUAGGAUAAUGCCUAUUUAGACUACUGAGAUCAUGAGGAGGAAGAUGGCAGCUAACUCGAUGCUUUUUAUCUGCUUUUUUUCUAAACUGGUGUCUUCUGAGGAAAGCACAUUUGUAUUUUAGAUUUUGGUGGACAAUGGAUUGCAUCCUUUACACAGUCAGAGAGAGAAAAGGCAUUAUGUGUGAAGUGUCAACUUAUUUGAUACCUUGACUGUAGCAUUAAAAAGGAGGAGGAAUUUCUACUAGCUAAAAGAAGCUUAUUGAAAAAAAUAUUUGCUACUUCAAAUGUGUGGAGUAUACCAAGUUUGGGGAGAGGGAUGAGUGAGAUACAUGGUAUCAUAUUUCUGACUCCGUGCUUGAGACAUUUGAUUAGAUCAAGUAUUGGAAUGGCUAGCAAGUGCUACUGGACAAGAGCCUUUGGAGAUCUAUUUACUGUAAAAACCUCUGUUUUAGUAACAAAAAAUAUAAAGCUUCUCUUGCCUCAGAGGUACUAAUAACACAAGGUUUCCAUAUGCAUGUAUAUUUGCAGAAUUAAACUUUGACCAUCAUUUGCUUUUACUUUUAUUUAUUUAUUUAUUUAUGAGAACAAGAGUCUUACCUCAGUUGAGGUCAACAAUGUUAUGGAAAUAAGUGAUUAUAAUAAUAAUUAAUCAACUGUAAUUAUUACAGUAAAUAACUGUAAGAUGCCACUGCUGUGAAAUUUACGCUAAGGAAUCCAUUUUAGCAGAGGGUUAGACAAGAUGAGGUCCCUUCUAACACCUAUGAUUCUGUGAUACAUAUGUGGUGGUAUAUAGGUAGAGAACAUUGAUUUGGAUGCAGAAAGAAUUAAACGUUUGUUUGAUUAAUUGUGUUCACUGAGAAUCACUUUGAUUUGGCGUUCACCACUCUAGUAAGUAGUUUCCAGCUUACUAUUUAGCUAAAAGAAUAGUUGACAAGAUUUUUCACUUAGGUAAAUAUGCAGUGUAAUUUUCUUAUAAUUUAUACAUGUGCUUAAAAAAAAAAAAAAAAGAACUGCCACAUAAGUUUAUCAUCUGUUUUCUGCUGAAGUGGGAUGGUGCUUGGGUUACCUGCCCUGCAGCUCCCUAUGCUAGUAGGGAUGAGGGGAAUGGAGAGUUUGUAGAGACCAUUGAAUUUCUCAGUAGGGUACGAAUUAGUGCUUGUGAGAAGGAGUGGAAGAAUACUAGCUGUAAGACUCCACAUAGGCGCUGACAGCACUCUUCUCAGCAGGGUUUUCUCUAAUGCAUAGGAGCCAAAUCUCUGAAAUAACACUUAUGUUUUAUUAGAAUAGCAAAGAUUAUAGUUGUCUUGUCCACAGUGAAUUUGAUCUUGUCCUCUGACUAAUUUCCUAUUUCUUCCCCUAGAUACCAGAAUUAGCAAUUCAGUAACUGUUGCUGCGAUUCAACAUUGCUAGUUAAUGUAUAAUUUAAGAUUGCUUAAAAUUAUUCAAAGCAGGUUUAGAAUGCAAAUAUGUUUUAGAAUAAUGUAUUUAAAUGUAGAAAUCUAGAUUUGUGGGUUUUUUUCUGUGGUUAUUUGAUGCAUAUGACCUUUCUCUUAAAACAUUGAGAUUUCACCUGUAGGGAUGAGAAAAGUUUAAAAAGAAAUCAGUUUCCAUGCUGGAUCCUUUUAUUAUGGACCUUGUGUCAAGUAGUGGACAUAGUAUGAAAUCUUCCCUUCCAGGAAAGUGGAAAUGCCAGAGAAAUAGAUUGGAAAGAAAUUCUAUUCUACUUUUCUUUCACCUUCCUGUAGGUGGAGGAGGACAGUCCUGUUACCACAAUCCUUGUGCACUACCUGCAUGUGCCCAUGGGCUUCCCAUAGUGGGCAGUCUGCCCAGCUCAGUGUGCGAAGAGUAACAGGAUUAUUUGGGAGGAUGAUCAAUUCUCUUUCAGGUACUGCAGAUCUUCUUGAGAGCAUGUGAAGUAGCAUUAGCUUCUCUCCAUUCUUGUCCAUUUGCAUGUAAAUGUAGGCUGUGUUGGCAGCACUACCUAAAACUGGCCUGUGACAGAUAGCUGUUUCCCAUUACGGUGUGCAAAGCAGGCUGAUAAUGUAGCCUAGCAUGUCAUCGUGAACUGGCAGAAGCAGCAGGCUGAGAUGAUAAGUAGAGCUGGCUAGGUCUUGCCUUUUCCUCUCUGUGAAUAAGCUUUAAGUGCUCAUGAAGCUGCUGCAUGGCUUCCUCUUCCUUGUCACAAGCCCUGGUUUCCAAGCGUAGCUGUGAUUAAGGCAAAAAAAAAACAAACAAAAAACAAACAAACAAAAAAACAAGCAACAAACACCACAGCGGAUAAGAAGAUUUGUGACGUGAAACUGAAGAGCUUGUUUUGAGAAUCUUUUUCCAAGCAGGACGUGCCAGUGAGAUGCAUAAAAAAAAGGUACUGCUGAUUUAAAGUACUUGGAGAAAAGGCAUUGGCUUGGAGAGCAGUACUGGCAGUAAAUGUAUUUUCAACUUGCAGUCUCAGUACUUAAUUUUCAAGCUCCAGUAUGGGUUUUUCCCCAAAUCCCUAGUUAUAUAGUUCAAAGAGAUGAAGUUCUUGGAUUAUUGUCUCUCUCUCUCUCCUGCCAAGGAGCCUGCAAAACUACUUCUAGAGCCUGCCUAUAGAGUCUAUUGAAUAUAAUGAUUCUGUGGCAUGUUUUGAAGCAUAAGUGUACACUUCAUGGGAAUAUAUUAAGCAUAAACUGAACUUAAGGUGAAGGUCUUGCAAUGGGUGGAAAAAUAACCUGGCUGAUAGGCAACAAUUCAUUCAAUUAGGUUUCCGAGAAAUUGGUAGAUUUCUUUUGCAUGUACUCAUCCCAACCGUCUAACUCUUCUUAAUUUUACAAAAACCAGACAAAAACAACAACAGAAGUCACGAACAUCUCACCUACACAGGGAAUAAUUGAAUAAUUUUACUCUUCAUCAUAGUUUCUUGUUUUAUCAAGGAAAUAGAAAACAAUAUACGUAUUUGUGCACUGAUCAGCAUUCCUUUGAAUUUAGACGUCCUACAGACUUAUACAUAGCAAAUUUUCAGUCCUAUUUUAUAAUAUUCUCUCCACAAGUUUAAUGAACAUUGCACAUGAUUUAGAAGGAAUCCACUGUUGUGCGUUCAAAAAUCUAAACUUAUUCCUACAGCAUGUCUAAAAAGGAAUGAAGCAGGUCAAACAUUCGCAAUGAUCAGUGUAUUCGUGCCUGAUCUGUGGAGUUCUUUAUAACUAAUCAGUAUUUUUUUUUUUAUUUUUUAGGACAAAUCCAAUAAUCCUUAACUGAGUGAAAUCCCUUGUAAAUUUGUCAUGUUCUAUGCAAGUGGAGAUUGGAUAUUAACCAAAUAUGAAGAUGAGACUUGUAAAAUUUUUUAUUUCAAGAGUCCAUGGAGACUGCUUAUAUUGCUACCAGAAUCAACUAAUCACAAGCUUUGAGUGAGGUUUGAAGGAAGAUUCUGAGGCUAGUGUUAAAUCAGUCAUACUGACAAAAAUGCUUCUAGCUGUACAGGCUAUUAAAGGAAAAUUAUUAAAUCCGGAGCUGUGGAACAGGAGAUGUUUAGAGCACUGACAUACCACUUUACAAGCAACUUCCUGGAUUUACUAGGCUUCCAAACUUGCAGUGAGUUUAAUUAAAGAUGAUAGGUUGGGAAGGAAGUCAGAAAAUGCAGGAAAGAGAAAGUUUUUACUUAUUUGCUGUAUAACUUCUUUUCCGUCUCUUCUUCCCUCAAAACAGCCUUCCUAGAACUCCUUUGUAGGCAGAUUUUCUGCAGAUAAACCACUGAGAAAUCAGACUCAAUUAGCUCUAGAAAAAUUUUAGUGCUAGUGUUAUGGCUGAAAACUCACCCUAAAAUAAUGAAUCGUUUAUUUUGUUUCUUAGGACAUGUCUUCCAUGACUGUCCAUGAGGAAGAACAAUUUUUGAUGUUUAAAAAAAAAAAAAAGAAAUAUAAUGAAAAUCUCACUUUGGGAAUACAUAGAAAAAAUUGGCUAUGUUCCCAGAUUACUGAAUAAAAGUCCAAGCACUUUCAGUAAGAUCAGUGCAAUUCUGAAAUUCGAACUGAUCUUAUUUUAUGCUGGAUGUUUUAAUUUGACCGUUUCUUCUGAGUUUUCCAUGGAGAAACAGAGUAGGGAAUAGUAUAUAUAUUGUUAAUAUAAAAUAUAUUGCUGUCCAUCACACAGCUUCAUUCACUUUUACCUUCCAGAAUAGCGGUAGAAUGGAGAACUUUUUAAGGCAUGGAGUAUUUGGCUUGCUAGGCCCAUGUAGUUUCUCUGGGUUUUUCAUGGAGGCUAAUAAAUAUCUUCAGUAAAUUCCUCAUUCUCUGUUAUUUUGGAAUAACCAUACUUGUUCCACUGGUAUUGUUCUACAAAUUUGAAUUACAAUGUUUUAGAUCAGAAUUGUACUUCUGAGUAUGUGUGUUUGGGCCUUUCCAGAAGGUCUUGGUAACAUGUUCAUUGGAUAUGUGUGUAUGACAUGUGAAUUCCUGAUACAAUAUAAUAUCUAUGAUAGUAUUAUUUUGCAAGUUUCCUCACCCUUUGUUGAAAAUACAAACAAGAAAGCUUUGAAAAUUCAGUAGCAGUCUUAAGGAGAAGGAUCCGUCUGGUAGUAGCAAUUCCAUCAGCAGCCCUGAGAACAGCAGUGUGGGAAAUGGCAACAGUCGACUUUGCAGUUUUGUGAUCAUCACUGACAUCCAGUCACCUUUCAGUAGCCUCCAUCAAUAAGGUGGCAGGUAGGCUCUAGGUAUGUCAAGUCUCGAUUUGUUCUUGAGUUAUGCCAGUGUUAGGUCUUGGAAAAUAUUUUUUUCCUAUUUCUGUAUAGAAAUAUUUAUAUUAGUACAGUGCUGAAUAUGGAUUGAGUCAAGCCAGUCUAAGAAUGCCUUCAGCAAUAUAUUUUACUUUCUGGGUGUACACAGCUAUUGCAGCCACAGUUUCAUGUAGUUCAUUGGCUUCCACACUAAGCAGUGUUGCAUGCCUUUAACAAGCUGUUGGAAAUAGCUUGAACUCCAGUGGGCUGCUGCUGUUGCUGCCUACAGUGACAGUUUUGUGACUUUUACAGUUUCACUCAGAAUUUUUCCUUCCAUUUCUUUUCAGAAUGUUAAUGGGCUUAUAUGUACUUUGGGAUACUGUGAGUGUGAGAAGAACAACAGGGAAAGAAAGUAAAGGAAUAGUAAUGUGGCCUCUGGCAUCUCCUUUGUGAGAGCAUCCAUCUCAGUCUGCAUGGUGUAGGAGAACAUUUUAAACUUAUUCUUGGUGCACGUAAAAGGCAUUGCUCUUGAGCAUUAGUCCUUUUUAGGUAUUCCUCUGAGCCUAAACUUGAGGACCUGUUUAAAUGAAAGAUGUCUGUGGGUUUCAGAAUUAGCUUUUCUGCUUUGUUGUUUCCAUUCUUGAACAGAAGAAAAGUAUCAUUGUUUGCAUUCACGAAAGGACAGUUUAUACGUGUCUGACUUCUUGCAAAUGCAAUCCAAGGAUGUCAUUAAGAGGGGCAUCUUGGAGGGACAAGGCAAAGCAAUGCCAAAAUAACAAAUCUCAAUAAGGAUCACUUAAUGUGAAGUACCAGGGGAAUUUGAGAGUCAAAGCAAUGUUUCUAUACCAUGUGGCUCUAAAUUCAGGCAGGAACUAAUUGGGGAUUUUCAAUAUUGCUUUCUCUGGGGGAAAUGCCUAAUCAGUGGGUCUGCUGUGGAUGUACACCUGUUUUUAUUCAAUUAAAUAUGAUACACAAAGUGAAAUCUGCAGCCUCUUCAUCCCAGAGGCCCUGUAAAUCUAAGAGUGGGACAAUAAGCAGCAGGUGGUAACAGGCAGGUGGCUUCCUAAAAAGAAAGGGUGGAAGAACAUUUCCAUGGCAGUAGGACAUCCCGAGAAAAGGCAUUUCUGUAUUCAGUAAUUUUGAUUUGCUUUGUUUAUAUGAACUUUCAUAGUUCGGUAUUCUCCUUUCAUGAAAUUUCAAAUACUUAAUUCAGUUAUUUGCAGAUGCUGUCUUAUUUCAAACGUUAUUUCUCUAGAACGGUUUAUAACAGGAAGCAUUGCUGUACAUGUAUUGAAGUCUUGUUUUUGUUUCCUCAGCCCUCCCCUCCUCUUGCCAUCCUGAUGGAGACAUUAAUGUAUCCCAAUAAGUGUCACUUACCAGUAAUUGGUCUCUAUUCUUUGAGCUUCUCUUUCUGAUAGCAACCAUAUUUUGGGCCAUAGUGAAACCCUUCUGACCUGAUUAUGUGAUUCCAAUCAGCCGUGUGCUGAACUGCCCAAAUGACCCACUGAUGGAGAAGCUGUGGUUUGGAGCUCAGUUCCUCUGUCAUGGACAGGCAGAGGUGUAUUUCAUCCUCCAUGACAAAUUUGGUUUCUUUCCUAUUUUUCAGCUUCCAGUUUUCAGUUUGAGACAGUGUGUGUUCCCAGGUGCUUUUUAUAUUCAGGACAAGUUCUUUCUGCGAUCACCUCACUCUGAAUGAGACUUCAGUAGCAGAUAGCUUUUUAUACUUUAAAUGUGAAUUUCAGCGUUGGUUAAGCAAGAAAUUAAUUCUGACCUGCCUUCUGUACCAAACCUGCCAAAUGAAUGGCAAUUAACUCUGGACUGUUAAACUUGAAAAGCUUCUCUGCAACUUCUGGGAGCUGUCCUGGAACUUCUUUACGAAAGGGAAUAAAAAAAAACUGCAGCUUCUGUUUAUUUAUUAUUUUUAUUUGGUGCGAGGAGGGGAAAAGUAUACGGGUAUUUUAAUAUCCUGUCUCCAACUUCAUUUCUAACUUCCUCAGGUUCCAUACAGGAGGAGCUGCCACAGUCUCAAGUUCCAAGGUGAACUCUGGUAUUUUUUUGCUUCUUCCCUUUGGCAGUUCUGCUACCUAAAGAUAGGGGUUAGGCUAACAGGUGGAUUGUAGGUUGUGUUGUUUAACACUGUCUGAAGUUUUGUUAUCAGGGUUUUGUUUUGCUGUGUCUGUAGCUGCAACAAUUUUUUUUUCCUGCUCUCAAUGUAUUCCAAGAAGCAAACAAGCAAAUUCUUUUCCAUAGCUGAAUAAGUAGGCAUUCACAUAGCCCUAGGACCUGUUGGUGGAAGUUGUUGUUUGAUGGGGGUAUACAUCCCACCGCUGAGCGCAUAUUUUCCUGUUGUCACUGGGCCCAUUGGCUGUGGCUGCCUGGCUCUGUGGCUCCGGUUAAUGGUGGCCUGUCCUUCAGGUCCUCUCCCACCAAUUUGCUUCUUCAGCCUUGAAAGUAUUCCUAUGGUUUUCUCACUGUAACUGGAAAUAAUAUCUUUUGCAUUGUAACCUAGAACAGCAUCCUCUGCACAGACAAAUGCAACAGUAAUAUUUAACAGAUAAAUUGACUGAAGUUACAAAUUAUAGACACAAAUGGAUAGAAAAUUAUCAGGCAUUUAAUACUAUAAUUACUCAGCAAAGCAGAGAGGCUAUGGUUUUGGUUUAUGGAGCAGUGACAAUCUUAGUGCUAUCUAGUGAAAUUUGCUAAGCCUUUUAAAGCAAGAUACUCACUUUGCUCUGUAUGUGCUAAGUGUUUGGCUUUCCCUGCCUGACACUUGUAUACUACAAGCCCUUCUGUACACAUGGUGAGAUAGACACAUCGCACUCAUUGAAGGACUCGUGAUUGACUGAGCUGCAGCAUUCCCGAAGCUUCAAGAAAGGUUUUCACUUGACGGUCUUUCCCACAGGAGUUCACAUUUGCUGUUUUAUCUUUGGGAGUGAGCUUAGUGACAGAUGCACACCAAGAGCCAGGAAGAAAUGCCAUGGGAGCUGCUUAACAGCAUUCAGAUGCAGAGAUGGCAUUUGAUUCCCAGGCAUCUUCGCUGCAUCCACUACAUAAGAAAUCUAAAUCAGGAAACCCUACAGGGUAUCAGGAAAGUAGACCUCUGAUCUGUGCGCUUUUGCCAUUGAAAACCAAGUCCUGCCUCUGAAACAAUAAACAAAUCUAAAGGUUAUUGAAUAACUUGCAUUCAUUUCAGUGCAGUCAGUAAAGUGGCAGAAUAGCAGGUAUGUGGGCAUACAACUGUGUGCCAUAGGACUAUGAGAGCUCUCUGACAACCUGUUAACAGGUUGCCUUACAUUCUCAGUGUCGUUGUUUUCAUUUAGUGUAGAAAUUGUAUUAGUCUAAUUCCUACAUGUUGUUUAAUCAAAAUGCUCUGGCUGUGUUUUAAACCGAGUACCAUUCUUUGGAAACGGCUCCCAGUGUCUGUUACAUAUCCCAAAUACUCCGUAAGAUAUAGCAAAGCCUGAUCUGUUUCUUUUGCAAUUUGGGUUUUUCUGCAUUCAAGCUAGUUUAUAUUUUAUAAAUAUCUGUGGAUGGGUAAAUGAAGCUCUGCAGUAAUUUUUUUUCUUUCUCUUUAGAUUUAUAGUGUGCGAAAUCUAAAAUACCUUAGGAGUACACAUGCUAAUAUUAUGUAGAUAGUUUGCCUUUCAUUCACUGGAAAAGCAAUUUUUUUUUUUUUUUGCAAUUCAUUUGGUAUUGUGAAAUUAAGGAAGUUGCUAGAAAUGAAUGUAAAAGCAAAUGAAUAGAUGAGAAAAGUGAUAAAAAUAUAAUCAUUGCCACUGUAAGAUAAGGUGCUUGAUGAUGUCAGAACUGUGAAUUGCUGAUGAAGUUUGAAGUAAUUCCAUUUUGCAUGUUAUUUUAAAAUUCUCAUAUAAAGCAAUUGAUGUAAAUGUAGAGCCUUUGAAAUACAAAGAAUUAACCUCACCCUCCAGACAUGAUGCUUUAGGUUAAAAAUAAUAGAAACAUAAAUCUUGUGUAAGUCUUAUUAAAAAAAGAAAUAUCUGCGCUAUCUGAGUUGGAUUUCUUUCAACCAAAAACUCCUAUUCUGAAAUGCUACUGUUCUGACAGUGUGACAAAUUGCAGGAACAAAUGCUAAAUAGUUAAAUGGACAAGUGAUGGAUGGCCUCAUAAGCCUUGCAGGGCAGCCUGUGUAAGAUACUAAUUGGUUCUGUGGAACUGGUUUUAGUCAAUAAAUUCACUUGAGAGGUUUUUGCGUGCAUGUGUGUGUGCGUGUUAGAUAUCUGUGAAGAAAGCAGUGCUGUAGGUGACAAACUUCUUGCAAUGCAUUAGGCCACCAACAGCUUAAUUUUGCCCUCCAUACCAUCUGCCUUCGUUCAAGGAUAUAACCUACUAAAAACCUAUUAGUGAUGCAUUGCUGUCUCUCAAAUGCUUCUGAGUUAUGAGUUUAUUUGGAAGCCUCCAGAUUAUUUUGAUGCUAAGAAAAAUGCCCACAUUAAAUUUUCCAGUGUUUGCAAUUGCUCUUCCCCCACCCCCGUCUCCUGCAAUAGAUUCUGCCACCAUUGCUCACUCUGAGCAAUACUUCCUAUUGCAGAUGGUGUCUAUAUUGGUGAACUCUCCUAGUGAAACAUGCUGUCAAGGUGAGCAGAGACGAUUAGAGUCCCGCCCUUGGGACCAGAGCCAGAAAAAAGCUGAGCAGCCUUUUUUGGUGCUGCAUUAGAAGUUGUUUUCAGGACUCUUUGGAUUUAGGCUCGGGUUGCUCUGGUUUGAAAUCCCUCAGCUUCACUGAGCCCUGCCAGCUGAGCUGUGGCAUCCCCAGGGGCAGGUAACUACUAUGCAUCCCUUAACACCCUAGCUUGGGAAGAAUUUGCAUCUUGUGCUACUGAGCUGGAGGGAGCUGUACCCUUCACGAGGCCUCACUGCACUCUGCUGGCCGACAGAUAGGAGUGGGCUGUGCUGUGGAGCCCGAGGAACUGGGGUAUGGAGAGCCAGCUGCAGAGAGCUUCAUUUCAUCAGCUAUAUGUCUUUGCAGGCAGCGGCCCGAUCUUCCAAAGUGUGGGAAGAGAAGAUAAUGGCAUUUGUUAUGGGCCUGGACAGAUCGGUGUAAGGGCGAAAGCUCUCAUUCCUUUGUUUCCCAGUGGCUUCUCACUCAGCAGCCCAGCUACUGCGAGCACUGUGCGGGUACCCACUCUGCUACUGCCUUGCUUGGCCUCCAGCGUGACCUGUGCAUGCACAGCAUGGUUUGGAGCUGAAAAGAACAGCCCUGGAGCUCCUGCCUUUUAAGUCCUUAAAGCCUUUGCUGAGUGUGGUGCACAGUGAUUUCAGGGGAAAUAUGAGGCACUGGGUUUGUUCUUCGAUGUAUUAAAAACAAUAAUUUUGUCAGUGCUAGGAAGAAGUUGUUUUCGUGGAUAACUUGAAAAAAAAAAAUACCCACACGAAAAAGAGCUUCAAUAAGUGAGUUAGGGCAGAGAGAAGAGUUGAGAUGAUUUCCUAGCUCAGCAGGUAAUAAUUUCCCAUUCAGUAAAAUAGGAUUGAUUGAUUCUGAAAACAUAAGGACUUAAUCUAAAGUUAAUCUAGAAUUUAAAUAACACGGAAGUUAAGGGGAAAAUUCAGCUUCAGGUCUCAGCUCCAUUGUGAUCCCAACUGUUUCAAGGUAAAGCCUACUUCUGGGGGAGAGUGAGCUAUGUCUCAAUCUCAAUCUACUCUGGGCUCACCAGAACAGGAAAAACAUGAUUUGUCACUAAAAAAAGACAAUUGGGAUAGUUAUAUAACGAGAAUACCAAUAGUCUUUUCUCUAGAUCCUUAUGCGUUAUUAUUCUUUAUGACAAAAAAAGAAUUCCAGUGAAAGCUUAUACUUGAGAAAUUACCUGUACGUAGAAGGUAGGCUUAUGGUGCAGGUCAGCUGACUGAGGUGUGCAAUGGGCUGAAUGGAUUUGCAGAUCAUCAGACAAAAGGGUUGAAUUAUGAGUUAAGAGCUAUUCAUGAUUCUGUGAUUCUGUUAGGGGAAACUUGCUGGAUUUAUGGCCACCUGUGAAUUGAGGGAUAAAUACAGUGUAUUUUCCUUUUGCAUUUAAUCAGACUCUGUGGCUCCAGAGCAAAGGCCCACGCGUCUCUCUGGAGUGCAUUUAUAAUGAAUAUUUUAGUUCAUUAAUACAAAGGAUUGUGACUGUACACAAAACAAAACAAACAAACAUUAUGUGAUCUCCAAUACACUGAUCUGUAUUUAUGAUUGUAUAAAAGCAUGAGGUAGAAUCAUUUCGGAUACGUAGCCAUAAAGUUUAACUACUGAAUCAACCAACGAUGAGAUUUUCUAUGUAACUAAGACAAUUUUUAUAAAAGCAUUUUGUUUUUCUUGUUAAAGUCGUUUUUUGAGCGUAGAGCUAGUUUUUGUGGGUUUUGCAUUGUAGAAUAUAGCACACUUGCCUAGACACCAUGUGUAAUGAAUGUUUACAUCAACAUCAUGUAUUCAUAAUGUGGCCUUUAAAAUGCUGUUAUAGGCAAUUUGGCCAUCUGCAAGCAAUGUUGUGCCAAGUGAAGUGAUGUCACGACACAGAACACUCCAGUGAGAGGUCAUCAAAUUUAAAUAUACUUAAUUCUUCUAAAGCUACUUUCAGGAUGACGAACUGACAUCCAUUUUCUUGUCAGUCAACAGGAGAUGAAGGCCUGAAGCCCAGCCGGUUGUAGGAAAUCUCUCCUUUGAAUUUAGCUUGGGUAUUACAAGUGCAAAGUACUCAUUCUGUAUAAAGAUGUUUUACUUAGGAUGUAUGUGUUAAAAUAAUGUUGUGAACCGCAAAAGAUUUUGAGUUUCUGUAGAAAUCCAUUAGUUGCUUCCAAAAGGAAGAUUUUGGUGUGCUUUGAGUACUAUUGAUAAGAGAACUGCUCUAAAAGCUGCUCUCAGUUUCCAAAGUUUAGUGUAACUUAAAUGUGUUUUAAGUUAAAAGCUUAAUUUCAAGUACUUUAUGAAACACAUACCUGAUGAGCUGAUAUGUUUGCUUCACUUGCGUAUUUAGGAACCCCUGUGUUUAUAAAGUGUUGUGUCAUAUCUGUGGGAGAAAAUACAGCUGCUCAUAAGUUUGACUAUAAGAAAUUUGCUGACCUGCUGGGUUCAUUAGCGGUUCAGAGUUCUAUUGCUUAACCUUUAUAAAAGAUUUUGAAGUGUAUGCACGUAUGUCUUUUGAAAAAACCUGAAUGCGCAAUGUUAGAAGAGAAAAUGGAGAGGCUGAAGGAAUAAAACUGCCAAAUGUCAAACUCACAAGGACCCACUGAAAUUCAGGACAAAAUCCAAUUUCAGGUAAAUUCUUAAGCUACCAUCUGUUCUGUUCACAAGUAUCUUUUAUAUACUAUAAAUAUACUAUACAGUAACAGCUUCCCAGCUGUGAAGAGCCCAUUUGCUUGACUGUUCUUUUAAUUUCUCUAUAUAAGUUUGGUUUUGAAUUUGGCCAUCUGCCUAGAUGCCAGUGUGAUAGGCAUUAAUAAAAUAUAGUAUGAAGAAGAAAUUAAAACAUCUGCUAAAAUUAAUAGGAAAAACGUUCUAUUCAGCCUAGUAGGAAAUACAAUAGCAUGGAAAAAUGGAGGAGUCUGAAUUGGUGAUCAUACUUCUGAGAUAUGCAGAUAAUAAAGAGGGACAUUUGGCAUCUGAUCCAGCAAGUCUCUGAAUUUGACUGUAAGCAUGUGAGUAACCCCAUUCUUGGAUUACUUGCACAUAAACCUAAAAUAAGCAUGUUAGCUGAAAGAAUUAGACAUCCAGAAACACUUUUUACAUCCCAGUACAGUUAUAUAGUUAUCAGAGAUUUAUUUUACUGUUCAAUAUAAUCCCUAACAGCUGCAGUUUUAUUGGGAAGGUAAGACGACUGUCAUUCCAUCUUUGUUGCUGCUGUAUACAUUACACAGAAGCCUAGAUGAGUAACCCUGCAUUCUCCCAAAAGCCUUGGCUGUGUCUGACUUUGCCUGGGAGAGAAGCCCAAGGACAGACUGCCUGUUAGGAUUUUCCCAUUAAUUAUUUUCUAUGCGCAUGUGUGUCUUCACAUCACUUGUAUUACUGGAGCUGUGUUCAGGGCUGUUAGUUCACUGCCAAACCUGAGUGAGGUAUUUCCUACAGGCUAGGAGUUUGCAGAACACAAUUAUACCAACCAUGCUGUCAGAGGAGCACAUAAGCAAAAGAAGGUUACUUUUAACUUAGGCAGUGCAGACUAUAUUAAUUUCUCCUGCCUCUCUGGUUUAUAAGGGAGCUUGACUUAAAGUCAUCGUGAAGAAGGUUAGGGAUCUGGUAGAGCCAAGUUAGUCUUGCUCAUCACAGAUAGUAAAACAAGGGACAGUGAGCACAAGGGACAACUUGAAAGGUUCAAACUGGACAUUAGCAAGAGCUUCCUCAUGAGGAGGAUAGUUUACCACUAGGAAUGGUUGUCUGGGAAGGUUGUGAUACAAAUCCUCAUCCCUAGAGGGUUUGGGAGUUUGUUCAGACAAUACUGUGGCUGGCCAACCCUGGGUUUUUCCACCUCCUUUAAGUGCGAGGUAAGUCUGUAGUUGUUCGAGAAGUAUCUUCCAACCACCUUGUUUUCUCAGAUGUUAGCUCAGACAAAAACAUGCUCUCUCUCCAGCAGAAAUCAGAAAGAGGCACUUCGGAGAGGUAGUGGGAAAGAGGGAGGGUAUGUUUACCCUCAGUAUUCCCUAGUAAUCUGGCAAUAAAUGGUCAGGCAUUUCCAAAUGAAAAGUGUUGUCUCUAUUUAUUUAGUAAUUGUGAACAAGUUUGGCUAGUACAUUUAGAUUUUUUUUUUAAAAUUACAAGUUAUUUCAACUGUGAUAUAUACUAAAAUUGAUCUUGUUUUAGAGUUAUGAUUUCAAUGUUUAAUGAAGGAAUAUUUUUGAGAAAAACAUUUUAAAUUUAAUUAAAUUUUACUGUCAGCUGUGUCUUACUGCUGCUUUGCAGAUAGGAAGGAAAAGAAGUUCAAAUUCCUGUUCAUUAGUUGAUCAUUUUAAUUCUUCUGUGCUGUCACUUGAACUUUUGUGCUCAGUCUCUUAAGGAGACUGUUUUGGGAGAAAUGGUCUUUCACUUACUUGAUCAGCCACGUUGUCCAUUCCUUAGUAACUGAAAUAAAACCAGGUUGUUAUUUUACGUUUCCUAGCAUUAAAAAUGAACAGAUCUGACUUAAUCAUUUCUGAUGCUGAGCUGGGAGUUUGCAGCAUUUUCCCCAGCUGCUGAGUUCUACACCGUGGGUGUUUCUCCUAUUUUCCUUUGUAUUUCUUAACCUGGGCUUUGGUUCUGGCUUUGCCUCUAGUGUGCCUCAAUACCUUAGUCUGUUUCAUUAGAUUUUUUUUGGAAAUCUGCUGUGAUUACUACCUAAUCCCUUUGUGCACCUCUCCUGGCCUUCUCCUGGAAACCAAGAUUAACCUUCUGUGGCGUUUUUGAUCUAGCUAGCCAUGCAAUAUAAAUCACUACUACUGCUGGCAAAGGGCUAUACUGAACUGUGUGAAAUCUGCCUUCUGAGAUGCAAAGCACAAUGAAAAACUUUGUUUCUCUUUCCUGUUGCACAGACAUGGGUUUGUUGUGCCUGGGAAGACAUGCCCAUCUCAGUGUCAUUGUCACUGGCAGUGAUUUUCUUUGGCGGAACAUUUUCUUACUGUGUAGUACUGGAGGCUCGGCAGCACUCACUGCAGUCCCCUGGAUGCACUCAGCAGAAGCUUGUUGGGCUGCUUGCUGGUGGUGUGUGAAGGGGCUGAAUGCCCAGCUUGGUCUGGUGGCUUGCUGCCAGACCCUAAUGUGCUCUCCUCUCCACCUUGGUGCUGCUACCAGGCACCUCCUGAAGCACAGUGCCUGAGUGCAGCUGUGGGUCCUGUUUCUGGUUCUUUUUGCUUGCUCUCAGCUUGUUCUGAGACCUCAAAGUGGGCUGUCCCCAUUAUACAGUAGUAUAUGAAAAGUACAUGUCUUGCUCAUAGUUUUUUUUCAGAAGGUUUCUUUCUUUCCAUUUGGUUUUCUCUGGAUGCUUCCUUAUCAAUUCU
rnacentral:lncRNA from 1 species